ensembl:lncRNA
GGAAUGUGAUGGUUUGAUCUCAAAAGGACCAGGGAGGGGAAUAUCCGAGAGGAAAGGACCAGCGAAAGCGACUGAGGGAAAGGGGGAAAGCAGAAAGCGGUUCCCCCCCUAUCGCCUCCAACUCUCUGGUCUUGAAUGAGAAUAUGCGGAUGAACUUGUCCCGGCCGUGUCGGCUGCAGCGAGCCCUACCGUCCGCACGAGCUCAGCCCGCGUGAAGUUGUGGAUUUACCGUUGCGUUUUCCGGACCCGGCGGUGGAACUGCUGAGGUAAAUUUGAGUCUUUAUUCUGUGUUUGAGGAAGAAGCGGAGUGUAUAUUUGGGGAUUCACACAGCGGCUUGUUGAGACUCGAGGAGUCCGGACUGCAGAAGUCUGAACUGCGGCAAGUUUUUCAGCCCUCCUCCUCCUCCUUCUCGUCGUCGUUCUUAAGCCAAAUUGAAGCAUCCAGCUCUGCAGGAAAACCUCAGGAUGGAGAGUUUGUGGAGCUUGAUUUGCUUUAGAGGAAAGGAUGCAUCUUAAAUUAAGUAAGUUGUGGGAAGUUCUUUGUGAUUUUUAGGAUUUCUGCCAGUGUGUAAAAGCCCUGCAGCCCAGCAGGCCUGCACUUACACUCCUGCCAAUCUAAGCCGAUUUUUUUUUUUUUUUUUUUUUAAAGACAUAAUCUGUAAUCAGGAAGUUGUCUAAUAUAGCCUCUCAACCCACUGUUCUUGUUAACUAUUUUACACAAAUAAGCAUUGAGUGACCAGGCAGAUGUUAUGACCCAAUACAGUUUUAUCUGUAAGGCUGAUACGUCUCCACUUGUGUGAAUAAAGUCAACUGCAAUUUCGUGCUCUCCUUCUCGUCCUCUAGUUCAUUCCUUUUCAUGUCUAAAGUAGAAAAUAAACUAUUUGGUGUUUCUCUUCAGCCCUUUCCAGUUUACA